CUCUCUAUCUGCUCAACAUCUCUUUCUAACUCUCUCUCUUUCUCUCUUUCUCUCUCUUUCUUUUUCACCUAAUAAGACAUAACAUCGGAUUUCUUCACGAUCGAAGGUCCAAACAAUGUCCGAUCGUCCCAAACUUUUAACCAAAGGUAGAUGACUCAUAAAGCAUCAUUCCUACCGUAGGAGAUCAAACUUUAAUGGUUAGAUCUUCUGUUAUUAAGCUUUUAAGUGGCUGCUGUUUCAACAGUAACAACGUCGGUUUUGUACACGAUCGGAGGUUCAAAAAUCGUCCGAUCGUUCUGAAAUUUUAAAGUAAGAGGUAGAAUUAAGGGGAGUGUUUGUUGGUGGAGCUCCCGGGAUGGUGUAGGAUUUCGUAAAAAAAACAAAGUGUUGGUACUAUUCCUCCCUUCCCCACUUCUUAUUCUUUUGCCCAUUAGGUAGAUGUGCAUAUGUGAUGACUUCAGGUCGUUUUCAGUGAAUAGUGCCGCACUAUUCAUAUGUUGACUAUGGUUAAAGAUGGUAAGAGUUGUUUUUGUUACUGUAUUAUUAUUGCACUGUCGUUUCUGACUUGUCCCAUCAUUUGUAGGAAGUUGGGGUUUCCUGAAGAUAGAAUACUAGCUUUGCAAAGAAGCCUUAGCUCAUUUUUGUAACAUCAUAAAUUAAAUACAAUUAGUACAUUUCUCAUUUGAAGAGAAAUGACUAUAUUUUGUAAAUGGACAUUUAAUAUCCAUCUGAUUUAUAAAUUUACAUGUACAAUUAUUUUAUCA